rnacentral:tRNA from 1 species
GCCUCUGUAGCUCAGUUGGUUAGAGAACUGCACCGGAAUCGCAGGGCCGUAGGUUCAAUUCCUACCAGAGGAC